UACGAAAGGGGCUAGCGUUGUUCGGAAUUACUGGGCGUAAAGCGCACGUAGGCGGCUUUCCAAGUUGGGGGUGAAAUCCCGGGGCUCAACCCCGGAACUGCCUCCGAUACUGGAUAGCUUGAGGCCGGGAGAGGUGAGUGGAAUUCCGAGUGUAGAGGUGAAAUUCGUAGAUAUUAGGAAGAACACCAGUGGCGAAGGCGACUCUCUGGCCCGGUACUGACGCUCAUGUGCGAAAGCGUGGGGAGCAAACAGG
rnacentral:rRNA from 1 species